rnacentral:rRNA from 1 species
GACGGAGGGUGCUAGCGUUGUUCGGAAUUACUGGGCGUAAAGGGCGCGUAGGCGGCCCUGUCAGUCGGGUGUGAAAGCCCGGGGCUCAACCCCGGAACGGCACCCGAGACGGCAGGGCUGGAGACCGGGAGAGGAGGGUGGAAUAGCCAGUGUAGAGGUGAAAUUCGUAGAUAUUGGCUGGAACACCGGUGGCGAAGGCGGCAUCCUGGACCGGCAUUGACGCUGAGGCGCGAAAGCUAGGGGAGCAAACGGG